CUGGGAAAGUCAGCUUAGACCUGGAUGGUCACUCCGGCUUCAAGAUGCAAGAUCCUUUAGCUUGGAUUCCAGAGAGCCAAAGUAGUCUUGGUUCAAGCCAGCAAAUAUGUUUCUGGUACUCCAAAGAGGUGGAAGAGAGAACCAGAUGUGGCAACAAAGGCCCAGUAGGCCACAGAGUUAAAAAUGCAGUCCUAGCUGUUUCUAAAGGGAGGAGGAGAGGCUGAGCAGAAUUUCUUUCAGUUUGUAAUUUGAUCAGAAAGGACUUUUGCCAACAUCUUCAUCUUGAGAUAAAUAGUGCAAUGAGAAAAUAUUAAUGAGAAAAUCUAAAGUCAACUACGUAAUUAUUUUUGCUGCCUCCUGUUUUAAACAGAUAAAUAAAUGUUUGUCAAAUCAGUACAAA